UACGAAGGGGGCUAGCGUUGCUCGGAAUCACUGGGCGUAAAGGGUGCGUAGGCGGGUUUUUAAGUCAGAGGUGAAAUCCUGGAGCUCAACUCCAGAACUGCCUUUGAUACUGAAAGUCUUGAGUAUGGGAGAGGUGAGUGGAACUGCGAGUGUAGAGGUGAAAUUCGUAGAUAUUCGCAAGAACACCAGUGGCGAAGGCGGCACUCUGGGACGGUACUGACGCUGAGACGCGAAAGCGUGGGGAGCGAACAGG
rnacentral:rRNA from 1 species